rnacentral:rRNA from 1 species
AUGGCGAAGCGUUCUAUCCCCUUGCUCAUGGCAAUGGUCUCCAUCCUUCUCACAGCCAUAGCCACCACCCGGGCCGCGAGCCUUGCCCCAGCAGCCGAUGACCGGAACUCAAGAAACAUGCCAACCGCGUAUGAAAUGCUAGGGCGGUAUGGCUUCCCACCUGGCAUCCUCCCGGGAGGCGUGCAGGGCUACGAGCUCCGGCCAGAUGGUUCCUUUGAGGUACACCUCUCUAACGACUGCAAAGUCCGCAUCGCCGGGCAUAACAUCCAGUACAGUAGCCGGAUCGCCGGGAAGAUCCAGAACGGCUUGAUCACGGGCCUUGAGGGCGUGAAGGUGAAGAUCUUUAUUCCGUUUAUCCGCGUUCGGGGCAUCCGCCGCAACGGCAACGAUCUCAGAAUCCACGCCGGGAAGAUAACCAAGUCAUUCUCGGCCAACGAUUUCUGCUUCUCCCCACGGUGCAACUGA